rnacentral:tRNA from 1 species
GCCGAGGUGGCGAAAUCGGCAGACGCAAUGGAUUCAAAACCCAUUGUCCGCAAGGACGUGAGGGUUCGACUCCCUCCCUCGGCA